GAUGAACGCUGGCGGCGUGCCUAAUACAUGCAAGUCGAGCGAACAGACGAGGAGCUUGCUCCUCUGACGUUAGCGGCGGACGGGUGAGUAACACGUGGAUAACCUACCUAUAAGACUGGGAUAACUUCGGGAAACCGGAGCUAAUACCGGAUAAUAUAUUGAACCGCAUGGUUCAAUAGUGAAAGACGGUUUUGCUGUCACUUAUAGAUGGAUCCGCGCCGCAUUAGCUAGUUGGUAAGGUAACGGCUUACCAAGGCGACGAUGCGUAGCCGACCUGAGAGGGUGUUCGACCACCCUGGAAGUGGGACACGGCCCAACCUCCUACGGGGGGCAGCAGUAGGGAAUCUUCCGCAAUGGGCGAAAGCCUGACGGAGCAACGCCGGGGGAGUGAUGAAGGUUUUCGGAUCGUAAAACUCUGUUUUUAGGGAAAAACAAAUGUGUAAGUAACUAUGCACGUUUUGACGGUACCUAAUCAGAAAGCCACGGCUAACCACGU
rnacentral:rRNA from 1 species